CAGGUAACAAAAAGCAAAGUGUUGGAUGGUUGGUUUUUCUAAAGGGCUAACAAAGCUAUGGAUAGAAACGCUAAGCAUCCACUCCUUAUCAGGAAAACUUCAACUCUGGCAGCGGUAGACCUGGUCACAGAUCUUGAACGAUACAGUACAGCAUGCUUUCCUGAUAGCAUCAAGAUAAUUGUCAACCACUCCAGUGACCUCAACAAUGCCAGCAGAAAUCUACAGACGCUUUCUUUCUGAUGAUUAAAAAAAUAAAAGGAGACGAUCUACAGGAACUGGUGUUAGAGAGCACUGAAGAGCACACCCAGGCUAGAGGCCAGGCUCUUCUCUUGUUGGCUGCACCUGAGGACUCCCCACCAGUACAGUUUCAACCAGCUCUAAAUUCCUCGGGUGUUGAAGAUUUCAUUGUGGAUAAAGUGCCUUUGAACAUAUCAGCUCAUAAACACCUCGUUUCUGUUCUGGCUCAAGAUGAAACAGUGGUUAUCCACAGGAAUAACUAG
rnacentral:lncRNA from 1 species